rnacentral:tRNA from 1 species
GAGGUGUUAGUUCAAUUAAAGCGUCUGAGUUGCAAUUAGGAGAUGCAGGUUAGAGUCUUGCACACCUU